UACGUAGGGUGCAAGCGUUAAUCGGAAUUACUGGGCGUAAAGCGUGCGCAGGCGGUUUUUCAAGACAGAUGUGAAAUCCCCGGGCUCAACCUGGGAAUUGCAUUGGAGACUGCAAGGCUAGAAUCUGGCAGAGGGGGGUAGAAUUCCACGUGUAGCAGUGAAAUGCGUAGAGAUGUGGAGGAACACCGAUGGCGAAGGCAGCCCCCUGGGUCAAGAUUGACGCUCAUGCACGAAAGCGUGGGGAGCAAACAGG
rnacentral:rRNA from 1 species